rnacentral:rRNA from 1 species
AGUGAACGCUGGCGGUAGGCCUAACACAUGCAAGUCGAACGGCAGCACAGUAAGAGCUUGCUCUUACGGGUGGCGAGUGACGGACGGGUGAGGAAUACAUCGGAAUCUACUUUUUCGUGGGGGAUAACGUAGGGAAACUUACGCUAAUACCGCAUACGACUUACGGGUGAAAGCAGGGGAUCUUCGGACCUUGCGCGAUUGAAUGAACCGAUGUCGGAUUAGCUAGUUGGCGGGGUAAAGGCCCACCAAGGCGACGAUCCGUAGCUGGUCUGAGAGGAUGAUCAGCCACACUGGAACUGAGACACGGUCCAGACUCCUACGGGAGGCAGCAGUGGGGAAUAUUGGACAAUGGGCGCAAGCCUGAUCCAGCCAUACCGCGUGGGUGAAGAAGGCCUUCGGGUUGUAAAGCCCUUUUGUUGGGAAAGAAAAGCAGCAGGUUAAUACCCCGCUGUUCUGACGGUACCCAAAGAAUAAGCACCGGCUAACUUCGUG